AUUGAACGCUGGCGGCAUGCCUUACACAUGCAAGUCGAACGGUAACGCGGGGCAACCUGGCGACGAGUGGCGAACGGGUGAGUAAUAUAUCGGAACGUGCCCAAUAGUGGGGGAUAGCCCGGCGAAAGCCGGAUUAAUACCGCAUACGACCUGAGGGUGAAAGCGGGGGAGUCGCAAGACCUCGCGCGAUAGGAGCGGCCGAUGUCGGAUUAGCUAGUUGGUAGGGUAAAGGCCUACCAAGGCGACGAUCCGUAGCGGGUCUGAGAGGAUGAUCAGCCACAUUGGGACUGAGACACGGCCCAAACUCCUACGGGAGGCAGCAGUUAAGAAUCUUGCGCAAUGGGCGCAAGCCUGACGCAGCGACGCCGCGUGCGCGAUGAAGG
rnacentral:rRNA from 1 species